AACAGGAUUAGAUACCCUGGUAGUCCACGCCGUAAACGAUGUCGACUUGGAGGUUGUGCCCUUGAGGCGUGGCUUCCGGAGCUAACGCGUUAAGUCGACCGCCUGGGGAGUACGGCCGCAAGGUUAAAACUCAAAUGAAUUGACGGGGGCCCGCACAAGCGGUGGAGCAUGUGGUUUAAUUCGAUGCAACGCAAAGAACCUUACCUACUCUUGACUUCCAGAGAACUUAGCAGAGAUGCUUUGGUGCCUUCGGGAACUCUGAGACAGGUGCUGCGUGGCUGUCGUCAGCUCGUGCUGUGAAAUGUUGGGUUAAGUCCCGCAACGAGCGCAACCCUUAUCCUUUGUUGCCAGCGGUUCGGCCGGGAACUCAAAGGAGACUGCCAGUGAUAAACUGGAGGAAGGUGGGGAUGACGUCAAGUCAUCAUGGCCCUUACGAGUAGGGCUACACACGUGCUACAAUGGCAUAUACAAAGAGAAGCGACCUCGCGAGAGCAAGCGGACCUCAUAAAGUAUGUCGUAGUCCGGAUUGGAGUCUGCAACUCGACUCCAUGAAGUCGGAAUCGCUAGUAAUCGUGGAUCAGAAUGCCACGGUGAAUACGUUCCCGGGCCUUGUACACACCGCCCGUCACACCAUGGGAGUGGGUUGCAAAAGAAGUAGGUAGCUUAACCUUCGGGAGGGCGCUUACCACUUUGUGAUUCAUGACUGGGGUGAAGUCGUAACAAGGUAACC
rnacentral:rRNA from 1 species